UAGGAUUAGAUACCCUAUUAUUAAAAUUUAAAUUAAAAAUACUAAAAUAGUAGGUAAUUAUUUAUUGAAACUUAAAUAAUUUGGCGGUAUUUUAGUUCAUUUAGAGGAAUCUGUUUAAUAAUUGAUAAUCCACGAAUAAAUUUACUUAAUUUUUUAUUUUGUAUAUCGUUGUUAAAAAAAUAUUUUUUAAUAAUAAUAAUAUUUAAAAAUUUUGAUUAAAAAUUAAAUCAGAUCAAGAUGCAGAUUAUAGUUAAGAAUAUAAUGGAUUACAAUAAAUUUAUUUAG
rnacentral:rRNA from 1 species